AAGAAAAAGUAAAGCGGCAAAGAACGUACUUUUCGGUUAUUGUACUUAUUUAUCUGUAAUUAUGCAGGCGAACCAGCAUUCGUGCUGUACAUUUCAGUCUCGAGCCGCCGGGCGGCGAAAGCCCUAUGAUGGGAGUAAAAUCAUGGCAGAAAAACGCCACAGCGCGGCAGAUGAGGAGUCAGUAUGUAAUGGAAGAUGUUCAGAGUCGAUCUUAGAUUAAGUUGGAGAGUAUAUUAUUGUCGUUUAUUUAUGUUUUUUUCAAAAUGUAUAUUAGUUUAAUUUAUUUUUGGUUAUUAUACAAGUGGCACGAAAAAAUCGGUGCAUGAAAUCUAAUUUUGAACAAGAACCGUGCGAUUUUCGGGAGUGCGCAUAAAUAAUAUGAAGGAUGCGUAGACCGUGAAAAAGAAUCGCGAGUGCGGCAAUGUAAAGAAUUAUUUGACCGUAUGCGUGGUCAGAGAAUGUGCGCGAAAUAGGAACAUAAGAAACGAUUACGCAAGGCUAAACACGAAACAGCGAGCGCAAGUGAUACUUAUAAUUAGUUGUAAAGAAAGACAUUAAUAAACAUUGUUAAUUUUAUUAUAAAGUGAAUGAUGGUAAACUUGAGUCAUUACGUACCUAUCGUCAUUACCCGAUUCUCAGUGAACCUCAGGGCGUAGGUGGAAAUAAAACAAUAAAAUUAACAAAGUGUAUGAUCACGAGUGCAUUUCUUAUCCGACGGACCAGAGACGUCUAGAGUAUCAUUGGUAUCAAUUUUAAAAUACACUUAUAUAACCCAAAUAUUAAUACAAUUUAAAGGACAUUUUGACUAACAUCUUUGAUAUUUUAAAUAUAACAUUUAAAAGAAAAUAAUGAAAAUUAUCAGAUAUAAUAAUAGUAUAUAUUACAUUGAAUCACGUACAUUAAUCAGAAUCUCAGGAAAAAUGCUUUUUUCUUUUAGAUUUUUUGUGCCUUUAACUAAAUAAAAUUUGUCAUAACAUUUAAAAACUCGUCACAUUGCACUGUUCUAAUGUUUUACUUCUUAAUUCAUUUUGAUCUAUCAGUAAAGAUUAAAAUUUUUCAAAACGCUCGUUUUUUAGUUGCGUAUUUGCGCAAGCAACUCUUUUAGAACAAUGCUUAUAUUAUUUUUCUUUGGUUUUAUUGUUUUGUUAACGUUCUCAAAAAUAUUCGCAAUUUUUGAAUUAUAAUUUUUAGUUUCUUCUAUAUUUUUUGUUCAACUAUCUUGUAUAUUGAUGCUUGUAUAUUAUCUACACCCUCAUUAUUUUUUUCAUUAUUUUCUUUUUUAUUGCACGUAUCAAAUCGAAGCUGUAUUUAAAUCUUUAAGUAAAUCCAAUAAAUUUAUUGGUUUACUACGUUUUUCUCCAUUGAGGUCAUGCAUUUUCUCAAAAUACUUGUCGGCUUUUUCUUUUCUGUGCCAGUAGAUUUUAUAAUACAAUUAAUGAGUGGAAAAUAGGCUAAUGAGAAUCAGCGCGGUUCAAAGAGCGCAAUCAUAAGUAUAGAUAUUGAAUCAUUUAUUUAAUUCAAAAUUACAAAACAAACAUUUCGACUCGCUUUGGAGUCAGCUGCAGCGUGACAAAAAAUAGAACAGGCAAUAGAAAUAGAAGCCGUCAUCAGUCAUCGAAAACGGGAAGCAUCCCAGUCGCCAACGGUUUGACAAAUCCGUGGUGGCAUUUUUAACAGUGAAAAUAUCGCAAGAGAUGAUCCUUAACUGUAUAACUGUCGUGUAAUUAUUUUGAAUCUCGAAAAAUUAUUCUAAUUGAGACUAUAUUUUCUCAUCGUCGUGUCGCAAAAAAUGACACUUCACCAUAUAAUUGUCAAAUGAUUAUUUUAGAUGUCGAAAAAUUAUUUUACUUGCGAUUGUAUGUACUCAUGGAUCUCAUUUCGAGCUGAUGACGACUAAUGAAGCUUGAGAUAAGUUUUGUUUGAAGAAAUCAAUUUCUUUUGACGAAGUAAGCACUCAAACGUUAUUUGUUUCACCCCAACACGUGCUCACGGGUCCGAAUUACAGUUAGUCCGUACUAACUGAUCGGAAUAUUCCGUCUUACUUGAACGUUACGCAGGUGGUUGAAAAUAAUCAACGGCAAAUUCAAAUGUAUGAAUACUGUAAGAGAAUCUUAAACAUAACAAUUAUCGAGCGAGCUAUAAGGAGCAUGAUAGCGAAUAGUAGCCGAAUGGGUCACAGAGGAAGCGAGGGCGCAGAGCGUCAGGUGACGAGAAAAGGGAGCAGGAUUGAGGAGACGCCCCGUGGGCGCCCACGAAGCAUGCGAGGAGGAGAACAUGCUCCCUCUUUGGACGGUUGCUUCUUCCCGUCUUUCCUUCUGACUUCGCGAUCCACCUAUCCCCUCCAUACAACCGCUCUCGGUCCCUACUAUGCUACAGAAUAGGCUUGUUUUCUAUUCCUGCACUAGACUGCACUGGAACGUUUCUUCUUGCUUUCACUAACUUUCAAAUAUAUAUCUAUUUCAUUUUAAGUGCACACUAAUUCAGGGAGUUCAGGAACAGAAAACAAACGGUAUGUGCACGUGACUCGCGCGUGUGGAAGGGAAAGCGGAAAAGCUCGAGCUAUAGUUUGUGAGCCAUGCCUGGAGGAGAGCAUCGAGAGCGCGGUAUGAGUGUCACGUGUAAGAAAGUCGGGAUUAAAAAUUUGAGUUUUGGUUGGAUAGAGUGAGAGAGCUUCGGGGCGUAGUAAGGCCUCCUCCGCUCACUAUUAAUUAUUCUCAUUAUUAUUAAAUUAAAUUAUUCAUUACGCGGUUCUUUGGGAAACUUAAUUCAAGUUGUGCAAAAGAUACGGCGUACCACGUGCGUAAAGUGGUAUCGGAUUACGUAAUUACUGCUCUCCCCGGUUCGGUUUCCGACCAGUUAACCGUCAAUACAUUCACGUUCGGCAAAAGUAAUUAUUAUAGUUAUUGUAAAUCUAUUUGAGCCAGACAAUAAAUACGUUCGUGACAUUUUGUGCCAUAUACAAAAGCAGUGAGUUAUCUCUAAUUUUCAUCCUGACCACCCAACUCCAUGAACAAACGAAAAAAAAGUGAACGCUGACUCUUUAUCGAUUUGCUGUAAAGUGCAGUAUCUUACAAAUACCAAAAAUAUAUAGAAUAACUUGACGAUAUUCAACGAGAUAUAUUAUGGCUAAAGCACAAUAUAGAACUUUAGACUGAAGUUAUUGAAAAAUAAGCUACAAUUUUUUAAACAAGAAGAAACUUUGCAAUUCAAAACGAGUUUCUUAAAGAAUGGACACCUAAAGAUAAAUCAAACAAUAUAUUUGGUCGGCCAUCCAUCAUCAAUGCAAAAUAUUUGGACUUAAGGUGCAGAAGAAAAGAAUCAGUAAAUAGACUGAAAUUGCUGAGGAUAU